CACUGACAUAAAACUAUACAGCAGCAGCAGCAGCCACCCAUGACCCUCCUCCUCCCUCUCUCCCUCCUUCCCUCUCUCUCUCCCCGACUCACCGCGCCACUACCCUCCCACCUCUGUACCGCCCUGCAAAGCUGACAACAUCACCCCACAACACUCCCUCCUCCAUCCCGCUCGCUCAGCACAGUUGACAGCAGCACGCACCACCUCCCUUCCUCUCUCUCUCUCUCUCUCUCGCCCACCACACCUCCCUCUCUUUUGCCCAGCACAGCAACCACCUCUCUCUCAGGUUCUAGCGAUUCAAUACUUACCCCAUAACUUAUGACAUAUUGCACACAACAGGUCUAUUCUCAGCUGAGCAGAAAAGGUAUGAGCUAGUGUUUUUGCUUGUCUUAUUGUUUAUUUCUUCAUACUUUGCUGGUGGAGGGUAAAUAUAAAUUUCUGCAAGCUAUUUUGUUAGUUCUAGGCACAAAUGCAAUAUCUCAAGUAUCAUGCUUGAGAUGGAUCACCUGGUGGAAGUGUUUAUGUAUGUGUUAUAGGUGAGCUUCAAGAGAUAACAACUUUAAUGAGAUGGGUGGGCAGUGUGCACACUUCGGGACACGAGUAAUGAGGAGUAGUAAACUCUUGACCCACUUCACCUCUAAUUCCAGAUCCUUUUCCACUGCAUCAUUUGCUGGCUUGACCAGCACCAGCACUAGCACCACUCCCUCUGCUAAUAACCACACAGACCCCGCAAAAGAUGAUGACCAACAACAGCCAUUACAAUCACACAAGAUAGUUGAUACCUUAUACAACCUUAAGAAUCAGCCUCACCUUGCUUUCUCCAUCUUUUCCCACCUCAAAAACCCCGACAUCCCUGCCUAUGCUGCCAUCAUUCGAAUCCUUUGUCAUUGGGGUCUCCACAAGAUGCUCCACUCCAUUUUCCUUCAUCUUCACCAAAAUAACAACGACUUUACUUCUUUUGAUAUUUCCCAUUUGCUUGACACGCUCUCUCUCCCUCAUCAUAUUGACAUUGAUCUUGAAAAGGAGGACACUGUGAAGCAUCGCUCUUCUUUCUUGAUCCAAGUCUAUGAUGCCUUGGUCAAGUCCUAUGUCACUGCAGGCAUGCUUGAUGAGGCUAUCAAUGCUUUAUUUCAGAUCAAAAGGCGCGGAUUCCUGCCCCAUAUUUUCACCUUUAACUAUCUCAUGAACAAAUUGAUUGCAAAUGGUAAAGUGGAUGCGGCUUUGGCCAUUUACAAGCAGUUGAAGAGUUUGGGUUUGAACCCCAAUGACUACACCUAUUCUAUCAUCAUAAAGGCCUUUUGCAGAAAGGGCAGUUUAGUGGAGGCCUCGAAUGUCUUUCAGGAGAUGGAACUUUGUGGGGUCAUUCCUAAUGCUUAUGCUUACACGACUUAUAUUGAAGGACUCUGUGCAAAUCAGAGGUCAGACUUCGGAUAUCAGGUGCUUCAAGCGUGGAAAGAAGGCAACAUUCCUAUUGAUGUGUAUGCUUAUGUGGCUGUAAUUCGUGGAUUUUGUAAUGAGAUGAAAAUGGACCGAGCAGAGGUUGUCUUGGGAGACAUGGAAAAACAAGAGUUGAUUUCUGAUGCGCGUUGCUAUAGUGAAUUGAUUCGUGGAUAUUGCAAGGCUGGGGAUCUUUCGAAAGCCUUGGCACUCCACAAUGACAUGGAAUCAAAAGGUAUCAAAACAAAUUGUGUCAUUGUCAGCACAAUUCUCCAAUACUUUUGUGAGAAGGGAAUGCAUUCCCAAGUGGUGGAAGAAUUUAAAAGAUUUAAGGAUUUAAGAAUUUUUCUAGAUGAGGUUUCAUACAACAUUGUGGUUGAUGCUUUAUGCAAACUAGAGAAAGUGGAUCAAGCUGUAGCAUUGCUGGAUGAAAUGAAGGGUAAGCAAAUGGAUAUGGACAUUAUGCACUACACAACUCUAAUAAAUGGGUAUUGUCACGUAGGAAAGCUGGUUGAUGCAUUUAGGGUAUUUGAGGAAAUGGAAGGAAAGGGUUUGGAGCCAGAUGUUGUCACUUUCAACAUACUUCUUGCUGCCUUUUCUAGGAGAGGCCUUGCAAACGAGGCGCUUAAGCUCUAUGAAUAUAUGAAGUCACAGGAUCUAAAACCUAAUGCUAUUACACACAAUGUGAUGAUUGAAGGUUUAUGUAUUGGAGGCAAAGUGACUGAAGCUGAAGCAUUUUUCUGUAACAUGGAGGAUAAGAGUAUAGAUAAUUAUGGUGCCAUGAUUACUGGGUACUGUGAGGCUAAACAUACUGAAAAGGCCUCUGAACUUUUCUUUGAACUUUCAGAACGGGGUCUUCUAAUGGAUAGAGGUUAUAUCUAUAAGCUACUUGAAAAACUCUGUGAGGAAGGUGAAAAGGAUAGAGCUCUUUGGUUGCUUAAGACAAUGUUGGAUUUGAAUAUGGAACCUAGCAAAGACAUGUAUGGUAAAGUCAUUACUGCUUGUUAUCGGGCUGGAGAUAUGAGAAAUGCAGAGGCAGUUUUCGACAUUUUACGUAAGAGUGGAUUAACUCCUGACAUUUUUACCUACACAACAAUGAUAAAUGUUUGUUGCAGACAGAAUCGCUUGUCGGAAGCCCGCAAUCUUUUCCAGGAUAUGAAGCACAGAGGAAUUAAGCCUGAUCUAGUUACUUUUACUGUUUUGCUGGAUGGACAUUUAAAGAGAGUACAUUCUGAAGCAUUUGCAAGGAAAAGAAAGGAAGUAAAUUUGGCUGCUUCAAAUAUUUGGAAAGAAAUGCAGAAUACAGAAAUCAGACCAGAUGUUAUUUGUUACACAGCUUUGAUUGAUGGGCAUUGUAAGGUAGAUAGACUUGAGGAUGCCAUAGGCCUCUAUGAUGAAAUGAUGUAUAGAGGAGUAGAACCUGAUAGAGCAACGUGCACAGCUCUUCUGUCUGGCUGUCGUAACAGGGGAGAUGUUGAUAUGGUACUUACAAAACUGAACCUUAUUAAUCUUACAUCUGUCAAGGAGAUGUAACCAGAUGACCAUACUCAAUAAUGGCUGGAUGAAGCUGUGAAAAGUUUCAGUUUCUUAAGUAGACCACAUCCCUUGCCAGAAAUUUGCUCUAGAAAUACAGACAACUACUGUUUGCAGAACUGAGCCAACAUUCACUCAACCCAGAUCCUACUUCCAUGCUUAAGUUGAGCUUGGAUAGUUUAUCAAGUGUGAUCUUGAAAAUGAGGAUGGAAAUGAACAUGGCUUUGAAAGAGAUAUGAUGUGAUCUGCAAUGACUUCAUAUGGAAAAGGAAGAUCGCUUUGCUUGAAAACCCUGCAAGGUCAAGCUGAGAAUGCGGGAUGUGCAAUUUCCGGGUGGUUUUUUAUUAUUGGAAAGAGAAGUUGAUUUGAACAUUAAAUUAUAGACACUACACUAUGGUAAUGUUAAUACGAGUGGGAGAGUUUGAGAGAUGUUGCUUCGAAGGAAGAAAAGAAGAACAAGAAGAGUUUGCAAAUGGAUUUACUCCUUUAUUGGGAUUGUCAAGUUCUUUGUCUAGGUUCUUAUCCUCUCCUGUCCUGCAUUGCUGCCUUUAUUUUUCUUCUGACUGGUUGGUGAUUGGAUAUGGAUUUGUUAUGUGAUUCCAAUCAUAUGAUUUUUUCCAUGAUUGCUGUUUGCCACUAUGAACUUCUUUCAUUCACUGAUGAAUUUUGUUGAUAUUAGUCUCUGCUCAGCUGCCGAAUAUUUAUUUCAAAUUGUUCAUGGAGCCCUUCCCCAAUUGUGUUUUGAUCCUAAUUCAUCUGUGCCACCUGCUGAAAUAACUGUUCUUGUCCUGGACUAUCUUUACACGAAACUGGAUCAAGUGUCUUGUGCAAGGUGGUGAGGUAGAAGAGUUCUCAUGCUACUCAAUAUGUCUGUGGGGGUGUAUGCUACCGUAUAUUCAAUGUCUUGAUUCUUGACAUUUUGAAGGAACUCUUGAUGAUCCUUAUGAAGAGAGCAAUCCCAAUUGAUUAAGCCCGAGUUCUGUGAGAAGAGCUAUGAGUUAAGACAAUUACUGUGCAGGAAGUUAGAUGUUGAGCAUCGUGCUCUACAUUCUUCUCUACCUUUAUCGAAUAACAAGUCAGGAAUGAGUGAAAAAGAUUAGAAUCUGUUUUCCAACUCAACAAAAGGAACUUCUAGCAUGUCCUCUGUUUAUCAAGGAAAUUUCUAAGUCAAUUGUCUCUGCUGGAAAAUCAUGGCAGCUGGUCCGUCAUGUUCCUGUGUUAUUCUCAAUGAUGUCUGAAAUAAGGAGACAUCCAGAUAUUAAUGUUCCUGGAGGCUCUACUGAUGAUAGUUUAAACAUUUGC